rnacentral:lncRNA from 1 species
AGCAUUCUCAAGACCAGAAUUCCAAGAAGGCACAAACUGAAAAUGCAGAGCUCCUUGACAGUCAGUGGAUUUAGCGGGGGGAAAUCAGAGACUCAGAAAAGAUUUUUAUUUGUUCAAUCUAUUUAGUCAACAGAGUGAUUUUAUGGCCUCUACAGUGCAUAUCCCCGAAUGUUAGUGAAACUGGAUGAGUGUUAUCUACCUGCGUGCAGAGAGAUGAAUUGUUGGGCAGAUGAACCCUUUCAAGCAGUGGCCAGCCUACCGUGGCUGCCAUUUGUUCGCCGUCUCUGCUGCAGUCCGUUCUGCGUGGUUCCCCAGGCCAGCACCCCAAACCAGCCAGGACCAUGGGGCAUCGCCAUACUCACAGGGCAGUCCGAAAGCCCCUAACCUCUGGGCCAUCCCUACCCUCUCCUGGCAGAGAGCUUGACUGCCAACUCAGGAUUUCUCUUGUGGGUUCUUCUUCCCCAAGGCCCAUUUCGCUGGGGAAAGUCAUCCAGAGCACAUGUGUGACAGUUAACCCAUGAGCCAGUCCAUCAGAGGCUCUUUACUCCCCAACCCUGUCCUUGAAGUGUGGGUUCCACUUGCCUUACCUGCUCCCAGAGGCUUCUCCAGAGACCGUGCCUUGAGACAGUGAUGCAGUGCUGAGAACACCAGCAAGCGUACUUGACUGAACCCAGCUAAACCCUCUCUCUGUGUAAAUGUUAAGGAUCUGCUGGCAGGUGCCGGGAUCUACUCCUCCUGCUUCUCCCCCAGACAAAUCCUGUAUAGAUGUUUCCUUUGCUUAUUAAAUCAGCUGCAUACUCAGCUGGAGGGGCCUGCCUAUUUCUUUGUUCUCUCCCUGCCCUCUGAGUGCCGGGGGCCGGUUCCAGAUUAUGCCCUGAAAACUCCUGACAGGGAGGCAAGCUGGUGUGUUUCUUUGGACUUUGAGGAUGGCUCGCCAAUUGUUGCUUCACAAACUGGCCCCCGUACAUGGAGAACAAGGGGAGCCCCAAGAAAGAGGCAGCCCAUUCCAGAUCAGCAAACAGCAGCUCUAAAUAAGCAAGGCGACUUCUGAGGCAUGUCGUGGGCGGUCGGGAGAUGAGGAGAUCUUCGUGUCUUCCUGCCAGAAUCAUAAAACUUUCUAGAGACGCCUUACCGGGGCUUAGUCGUGUGUACAAUCCAAGUGGUCUCAGGAACACCUCACUCUCUUGAGCCUGCAUCCUGGAGAACGGCUCCCGCUGUGGGAGUGGCGGGCAUUCCAAGGACAGGAGACGGGGUGAGGAGCCUCCCAUUACCAGGCCCCAGCUCCCAGGUCACCUGGCAGUCACGUCCUGCUGAUGACCUUCUCUAAUAGAAGACCAUUUCGGAUGGAGCCACCACCAGAUCUGUGACAUCUGAGGAGAAGGCUGAGGACUCCAGCUGGCAAGAGUGGCCCCGCUCAAAGACCUCUGGGUGGAGAGGGGCUACCACAGAACGACAGCCACCUGGUCCCUAGGCAAGGAAGGCUCGCCCAGGUAAUCCAGUAUUCAUGAUUAUUGUGUCCUACAUAGGACCUUGUAUGUUUAGUUUUGUUUUUUUUUUAAGAUUUUUAUUUAUUUGACGGAGAGACAGCGAGAGAGGGAACACAAGCAGGGGCAGAGGGAGAGGGAGAUACAGGCUUCCUGCUGAGCAGGGAGCCCGAUGCGGGGCUCGAUCCCAGGACCCUGAGAUCAUGACCUGAGCCGAAGGCAGAGGCUUAAUGACUGAGCCACCCAGGCGCCCCAAGGGUCUGAGCAUUUGUGGCAAAAUCUGAUAAGGAUGCUGAGAGGCGGGAUUCCUGGGAAAGUGAGAAAAGUGAAGAGGAGGGUGUUUUGGUCAUUGAUGGUGGAAGAGAUGAAGUGCCCCACGCCGUAUGACCCGAUGGAAAGGAAAAGUUGGAGUUAUCCUAGAUUUCGGAUAAUAGAGAAAUAUGUCCCCAAAACUCCUAGGAGAAAACUUGCCUUCUCUCUCUGUCCCUUGAAAUCAUGAAUCUUACUGUGUCUUUGAAAAGGAAACACCUAAAAAAAAAAAAAAGAAAAGGAAAGGAAACACCUCAGGAGAUAAAGUAAUCACUGCCCAUAAUUGCUUGAGACUGAAGAGAAAAAAAGGGAAAGAGGCUUUUUUAAAAUAUUACUCUAGAAGCUCCCUUGCCCAAAAUCUAGCCCAAAGCAUCCAUAAGAUUACUUGUCAAGGGCAAAUACAAAUCUUAAAAUCUCCACAAAACUUGGGGAAAUGUUUUAGCCAUGUUAAGCUGGUGACCUUAACUUGUUCCAUCUGCUAGAGACACAGUUUGGUCAAUUGUUAGCUAUCAACUAGUAAGUUUUGCAUUGUUGUUGUACCUGAUUGGUGACUAAAGUUCUGGAAUGAAAGCUAUAGAGACUCUGUGUCUCUAUGUUUAUGUUUGUCUCUGGAUAUUAGGAGAUAUAUAUAUAUAUAUCUCUGAUGUUUUCCUAUAUCUGGAGGAUAUUGCUAAAAUUAAUUUGUAAAAGAGCUUGAUUUAAUUGGCUUAAAUAAUUUUAAUAUUAAUGGUGUACUUAUGUAAAAUGAAAACUUAACUUUCUUUCAUCUGCCAGAAAGACAAAGUUUUCUUGUCCUAUUGGUCUGUUCUUAAGAAAGUUAUGAAAAGGUUUUCUUUACCUUUUAAGUAACCUGCCUAGAAAACAAAGAUCCUAUGUUUUAUCAAAAUUCUUUCCCGUGCGCAGUGUCU